GUUGUGGCUCAGUGGUACAGUGCUUGCCUAGCAUGUGUGAGGCACUGGGUUCGAUCCCCAGCACCACA
rnacentral:tRNA from 1 species